rnacentral:lncRNA from 1 species
GGACAUCAUAAUUCAAAAUCUAUCCAGUCACUAAUUUACAGAGAAAAUUAUUAAAUUUUAAAAAUUCUUUUUGCUAAAAGAACUCGUCAAUCACAGUUGAAUCUCAAUUUAUAGAAAUAUUUAAUAAUAUACUUAACCCUUCAUUUUAAAUUGUACAAAAUAAAAUUUUCACACAAUCAAAAUAUUUUUCUAAAUUGUCUUACGAAAACUAACGGGUGUCCGAUCACUUAUCUUAACGCAGCUUGAAAUAGGUUGAUAAGAUCCAUUGGUGUAGCACUUUGCCCUGUAUAGCACUUAGCUCUCACACUUUCAUCUAGUAUUCGGCUCUGAUACGAAUUGUAACUAUCCAACUCGCCAGCAAUAAUAACUUGUUGGACUCAAACCACUGGUCCAAAAUGCUUAAAACUUAGUUAUUAUUACUAGCGUGCGAGGCCUCAUAUAAACUGAUCAAAUUCAGUAUCCCAUCUGAUGUGAAACUAUUGAGGGCAUUACAAACUCCCCCUGUUUAGACCCUGACGUCCUCGUCGGGUCCAAAUCAGAUCACAGAUACAUACAAGAAUUAUCAGGUAAUGUGAGAUUCUAGAGGUGGCUCCCACUAAAUUAUUGGUGUAGCAUUUUGCCCCGUAUAGUACUUAGCUUUCACACUUUCGGCUAGUAUUCGGCUCUGAUACCAACUGUAACUACCCGACCCGCCAGCAAUAAUAACUCGUUGGGCCCAAACCACUAGCCCAAAAUGCUUA